rnacentral:rRNA from 1 species
AUGAAUUCGCCGCCGCCGCAACGCAGCCGCCACACGCUGGUCGACGACGCCAUCCGCGAGAUUUUGCUCCGCAUCCCGCCGGAUGACCCGGCGAGCCUCGUCCGCGCCUCCGCCGUCUGCACCACCUGGCUCGAAACCAUCUCAGACCCCGCCUUCUUCCGCGACUACCGCGCUUUCCACGGGGCGUCCCCCGUGUUGGGCUACCUCCACAACAAAUCCUACGAAAGCCAUGGCGUCGCCCGAUUCGACCCUACCGGAGCCUUCUGCCCGCCGGUUCGCGACCGCCGCAACUGGCACGCGGCCGACUCCCGCCAUGGCCGCGUCCUCUUCUACACACCCAGAGAGAAGCACGCAGAUUUCACCGUCUGGGACCCCAUCACGGACCGCCGGUGGGGGCUUCUCACCGACCCCAAGCUGUCGGAGAUAAUUGAGACUGCAGAGGACCAGCAGGAGGAGAUAACCUGGAUGGCGGCGGUGCUCUGCGCCCAGGAUGGCUGCGACCACCUGGGCUGCUACGACGGUCCCUUCCUCGUGGCUUUCGCGGGCUCCAAUGAGUUAGAGAGGACCACGUUCGCCUCCUUCUACUCAUCUGAGGCUGCCGAGUGGAGCAAAAUGAUCUCCAUUGAGAACCCGAAUGCCACCAGUGCCAUGGAGGAGACAGGGCACACUGCAGUUGUGGGAAACAAAGUCUAUUUCCCCCGUAAGUGGAGCGGAAGAAUAGUGAUGUAUGACGUGGGCGAGCAAGAACUUUCGGCGAUCAAUUUGCAGGACCAGCCAUGCGGUAAACUCAUGGGGGAGGAGGACGGUGCGCUGGUGUUUGCGAGCAUGGGGGGUUCUAAACUCUAUGUGCGGUUAAUGGAGGAUGGUCCCAAUGGAGUUGUGGCGAGGGGGCAACGCAGGGUCGUCGAGCUUCAAACAUCGCUCCCUCCUAGUGCCCUCUCGAGCACAUACUGGAUGGUACGCAAAACCUUCGUGAGUGGUGGACCAUCGGUGGUUGGUUUUGCGAGCGGUGCUGGUGUCAUCUUCCUAAAUACAGAAGCUGGCCUGUUCACAGUUGAGGUCUCUUCUGGCCAAACAAAGAAGGUACACAGAAAGAUGUUCGUCCAGACAGUCAUACCCUAUGUGAGCUUCUACAGCCGAGAACAUGUCAGGAUCUUAAUGCCACUGCAAUCAAAACGUGGUCGCGGCGACCAUUCACAUGAAUUGGACACCGUUUUGCAUGAUCACGCUGGGGACAGAAUGCCACUGCCAUGA